rnacentral:tRNA from 1 species
GCGGCUGUAGCUCAGAUGGAUAGAGCAGGAGCAUCCUAAGCUCAAGGUCGGGGGUUCGACUCCUCCCAGCCGCACCA